UACAGAGGUCCCAAGCGUUGUUCGGAUUCACUGGGCGUAAAGGGUGCGUAGGUGGUGAGGUAAGUCGGAUGUGAAAUCUCCGGGCUCAACCCGGAAAUGGCAUUGGAAACUACCUUGCUGGAGGAUUUGAGGGGGGAUUGGAAUACUUGGUGUAGCAGUGAAAUGCGUAGAUAUCAAGUGGAACACCAGUGGCGAAGGCGGUGCUCUGGGCCGGUACUGACGCUGAGGAGCGAAAGCGUGGGGAGCGAACAGG
rnacentral:rRNA from 1 species